GCGGUCGUGGCGGAAUUGGUAGACGCGCUACUUUGAGGUGGUAGUGAGGGUUCCUCGUGGGAGUUCAAAUCUCCCCGACCGCA
rnacentral:tRNA from 1 species